AUCCUUGUGGGAGCACCAAUUUGAGGUCAAGUGAAAGACCGCUUGAGUCAACUGAAGACCGUAACAAAUUCCACGG
rnacentral:tRNA from 1 species